rnacentral:rRNA from 1 species
AGUGAACGCUGGCGGUAGGCCUAACACAUGCAAGUCGAACGGCAGCACAGUAAGAGCUUGCUCUUACGGGUGGCGAGUGGCGGACGGGUGAGGAAUACAUCGGAAUCUACUUUUUCGUGGGGGAUAACGUAGGGAAACUUACGCUAAUACCGCAUACGACCUACGGGUGAAAGCAGGGGAUCUUCGGACCUUGCGCGAUUGAAUGAGCCGAUGUCGGAUUAGCUAGUUGGCGGGGUAAAGGCCCACCAAGGCGACGAUCCGUAGCUGGUCUGAGAGGAUGAUCAGCCACACUGGAACUGAGACACGGUCCAGACUCCUACGGGAGGCAGCAGUGGGGAAUAUUGGACAAUGGGCGCAAGCCUGAUCCAGCCAUACCGCGUGGGUGAAGAAGGCCUUCGGGUUGUAAAGCCCUUUUGUUGGGAAAGAAAAGCAGCAGGUUAAUACCCCGCUGUUCUGACGGUACCCAAAGUAUAAGCACCGGCUAACUUCGU